GACGAACGCUGGCGGCGUGCUUAACACAUGCAAGUCGAACGGAAAGGCCCUGCUUUUGUGGGGUGCUCGAGUGGCGAACGGGUGAGUAACACGUGAGUAACCUGCCCUUGACUUUGGGAUAACUUCAGGAAACUGGGGCUAAUACCGGAUAGGAGCUCCUGCUGCAUGGUGGGGGUUGGAAAGUUUCGGCGGUUGGGGAUGGACUCGCGGCUUAUCAGCUUGUUGGUGGGGUAGUGGCUUACCAAGGCUUUGACGGGUAGCCGGCCUGAGAGGGUGACCGGCCACCUUGGGACUGGGAUGACGCCCAGGCCACUACGGGAGGCAACAGUGGGGGAAAAUGCACAAUGGGCGGAAGCCUGAUGCAGCAACGCCGCGUGCGGGAUGACGGCCUUCGGGUUGUAAACCGCUUUCGCCUGUGACGAAGCGUGAGUGACGGUAAUGGGUAAAGAAGCACCGGCUAACUACGUG
rnacentral:rRNA from 1 species